GACGAACCGUGCGAACGUUGUUCGGAAUCACUGGGCUUAAAGGGCGCGUAGGCGGCCGGGGUUGGUCGUGGGUGGAAUCCCCCAGCUUAACCUGGGGAACUGGCCUACGAUACUGCCUGGCUCGAGGGAGGAAGGGGCGGUCGGAACUGUCGGUGGAGCGGUGAAAUGCGUUGAUAUCGACAGGAACGCCGGUGGCGAAAGCGGACCGCUGGCCCUCUUCUGACGCUGAGGCGCGAAAGCCAGGGGAGCGAACGGG
rnacentral:rRNA from 1 species